rfam:Salmo salar isolate Sally breed double haploid chromosome ssa22, whole genome shotgun sequence.
ACUUACUACUACUGUAAGUCGCUCUGGAUAAGAGAGUCUGCUAAAUUACUAAAA